rnacentral:rRNA from 1 species
UCAUGAUGAACGCUAGCGACAGGCUUAACACAUGCAAGUCGAGGGGCAGCACAGGUAGCAAUACCGGGUGGCGACCGGCGCACGGGUGAGUAACGCGUAUGCAACUUACCUAUCAGAGGGGGAUAACCCGGCGAAAGUCGGACUAAUACCGCAUGAAGCAGGGGCCCCGCAUGGGGAUAUUUGCUAAAGAUUCAUCGCUGAUAGAUAGGCAUGCGUUCCAUUAGGCAGUUGGCGGGGUAACGGCCCACCAAACCGACGAUGGAUAGGGGUUCUGAGAGGAAGGUCCCCCACAUUGGUACUGAGACACGGACCAAACUCCUACGGGAGGCAGCAGUGAGGAAUAUUGGUCAAUGGCCGAGAGGCUGAACCAGCCAAGUCGCGUGAGGGAUGAAGGUUCUAUGGAUCGUAAACCUCUUUUAUAAGGGAAUAAAGUGCGGGACGUGUCCCGUUUUGUAUGUACCUUAUGAAUAAGGAUCGGCUAACUCCGUGCCAGCAGCCGCGGUAAUACGGAGGAUCCGAGCGUUAUCCGGAUUUAUUGGGUUUAAAGGGUGCGUAGGCGGCCUUUUAAGUCAGCGGUGAAAGUCUGUGGCUCAACCAUAGAAUUGCCGUUGAAACUGGGAGGCUUGAGUAUGUUUGAGGCAGGCGGAAUGCGUGGUGUAGCGGUGAAAUGCAUAGAUAUCACGCAGAACCCCGAUUGCGAAGGCAGCCUGCCAAGCCAUUACUGACGCUGAUGCACGAAAGCGCGGGGAUCAAACAGGAUUAGAUACCCUGGUAGUCCACGCAGUAAACGAUGAUCACUAGCUGUUUGCGAUACACUGUAAGCGGCACAGCGAAAGCGUUAAGUGAUCCACCUGGGGAGUACGCCGGCAACGGUGAAACUCAAAGAAUUGACGGGGGGCCCGCACAAGCGGAGGAACAUGUGGUUUAAUUCGAUGAUACGCGAGGAACCUUACCCGGGUUUGAACGCAUUCGGACCGAGGCGGAAACACCUUUUCUAGCAAUAGCCGUUUGCGAGGUGCUGCAUGGUUGUCGUCAGCUCGUGCCGUGAGGUGUCGGCUUAAGUGCCAUAACGAGCGCAACCCUUGCCACUAGUUACUAACAGGUAAAGCUGAGGACUCUGGUGGGACUGCCAGCGUAAGCUGCGAGGAAGGCGGGGAUGACGUCAAAUCAGCACGGCCCUUACAUCCGGGGCGACACACGUGUUACAAUGGCGUGGACAAAGGGAAGCCACCUGGCGACAGGGAGCGAAUCCCCAAACCACGUCUCAGUUCGGAUCGGAGUCUGCAACCCGACUCCGUGAAGCUGGAUUCGCUAGUAAUCGCGCAUCAGCCAUGGCGCGGUGAAUACGUUCCCGGGCCUUGUACACACCGCCCGUCAAGCCAUGGGAGCCGGGGGUACCUGAAGUCCGUAACCGCGAGGAUCGGCCUAGGGUAAAACUGGU